AGAGUGCUCUCCCUGGUUAUUCCAGAAACACCAGUCGCUGAGGAUCUCUCACCUGCAGUUCCCUGCUGGAUCUUCAUUCUGACUGGUUGUACAGGCAUGGCAACAGCCUCUGUUCCACUUCUGGGGAGGCCUCAGGGACCUUUUAUUCAUGGCAGAAGACAAAGUGGGAGCAGGUAUGUCACUUGGUGAGAAUUAGAGCAAAAAAGUAAGGGGAGAGAUGUCACACACUCUUAAAUAAUCAGAUCUCAUGUGAACUCAGAGAGAGAACUCACUCACUGUCAGGAGGACAGCACUAAGCCAUUCAUGAGGGAUCCAAUCCCAUGACUCAAACACCUCAUACCAGGUCUCCCCUCUAACGUUGCAGAUUACAGUUAAAUAUGAGAUUUGGAGGGAACAAACAUCCAAAUGACAUUAUUUCACCCCUGGCUCCCCAAGACACAUGUCCUUCUCACAUUGCAAAAUAUAAUCAUCCAUUUUCAAUAGUUUCCCAAAGUUCUAACUAGUUCUAGCAUCAACACAAUUGAAAGUUCAAAGUCCCAAGCCUCAUCUGAGGAUGAAUUCCUUUCACCUAUGAGCCUGUUAUUUACUUCUAAGAUAUAAUGGGAAUAUAGACACUGGGUAUAUAUUCCCAUCUUAAAAGGGAGACAUUGGUCCAAAGAAAGAGGCAACAGACCACACACAAGCCUGAAAUCCAACAGAGUGAUCAUUAAAUCUUAAAGCUCCCAAAUAAUCACCUUUGACUUUAUAACGUGCAUUCAGGACACACUGGUACAAGGGGUGAGCACCCAAGGACUCUAGGCACAAUCUGCAAACUGCUGGUGGGUCUACUAUUCUGGUGUCUGGAGGGAGGCAGGCCCAUUUUCACAGCUUCACUAGGCAGUGGCCCAGUGGGGUCAAUUUGUGGGGGCUCCAACACUGCAUUUCCCCUUGGUAUUGCCCUAGUAGAGCUUCUCUCUGGAGAUACAUUUCUGUGGCAAGCUUCUACCUGGGCAUCCAAGCAUUCUCAUAACAUUGUUUGAAAUCUAGGGGGAAGCUGCUAAGCUUCCUUUAUGCUUUCAUUCGGUACACCUGCAGGUUUAAGACCAUGUGGAAACCACCAAGUCUUGUGGCUUACACCUUCCAGAAGGGCAGCCCAAGCUAUAUAUGGGUCCCUUUGAGCUAAGGCUGGAGCUAGAGAAGCCUAGAUAUGGGGAGCAGUGUCUUGAGGCUGUUCAGGGCAGCAGGACCUUGGGCCUGGUUCCUGAAACCAUUCUUUCCUCCUAGGUCUCUGGGCCUAUGAUGGGAGGGGGCUGCCUCAAAGAUCUCUGAAGUGCCUUUAAGGCCUUUUCCCCCUUGUCUUAGAUAUUAGCAUUUGGCUCCCUUUUAGUCAUGCAAAUCUCUCUAGCAAUUGGUUGCUCUGCAGCAUGCUUGAAUUCUUCCCUUGAAAAUUAGCUUUUCUUUUCUACUGCACGGCUAGGCUGCAGAUAUUCUAAACUUUCAGCUGUGCUUCCCUUUUAAAUAUAAGUUCCAACUUUAAGUAAUUUCUUUGCUCUUGCAUUGAAUCAUAGGCUGUUAGAAGCAACCAGGCCACAUCUAAGCUUUGCUGCUUAGAAGUUUCUUCCGCCAGGUACCCUAAGUCAUCACUCUUAACUUCAAACUUCCACAGAUCCCUAGAACAUGGACACAAUUCAGUUAAGUUCUUUGUUAGGGUAUAACAAGAGUGACCUUUGCUCUAGUUCCCUAUAAAGUUUACACUUCCAUCUGAAACCUCAUCAGCCUGGCUUUCACUAUCCACAUCUCUAUCAGCAUUUUGGUCAUAACCAUUUAACCAGUCUCUAAGAAAUUCUAAACUUUCCAUCAUCUUCCUGUCUUCUUCUGAGCCCUCCAAACUCUUCCAACCUCUGCCCAUUAUCCAGUUCCAAAGCUGUUUUCUCAUUUUCGAGUACCUUUAUAGCAAUGUCCCACUCUUCACUACCAAUUUUCUUUAAUUAUUAUAAAGAAAUACCUGAGACUGGGUAAUUUAUAAAGAGGUUUAAUUGGCUGACCAUUCUACAGGCUGUACAAGUAUGGUGCCAACAUCUGCUCUGCUCUGCUUCUGGGGAGGCCUCAGAGAGCUUUUACUCACAGUGGAAAGCAAAGCAGGAUCAGGCACAUCAUAUGGUGAGAGCAGGAGUAAGAGAGCAAGGGGGGAGGUGCCACACACUUGCAAGUGACCAGAUCUCACAUAAACUCAAAGACAGAACUCACUCACUGUCAUUAAGACAGCACUAAGCCAUUCGUAAGGGAUCCAGCCCCAUGACCGAAUCACCUCCUAACAGGCUCCAUCUCUAACAUUAGAGAUUACAUUUAAACAUGAGUUUUGGAGGGGACAAACAUCCAAAAUAAAUCAGCAUUGAAUUACUGCCACCACAUAUAUGGAAUUUUGGUUUUGUGUCACAAAAGCCACAGUCUGGUUUGUGUCUAGGGCUUGAAUUUAUCAAGGCUAGUUUUUCUGUGUAUAAUUUUUCUCAUUGGCUACGGAUGACAUUCAGAAAGACAAAAGGUAAUGUCAAUCUAAUACCAUCACUUUCUCACAGAAAGUUUUUAGUCUAAUUACUUAAAUGGGAAUUCAAUUUUGAUGGUAGUCCAAAGUAAAUUUGGCUCUAGUUAUUCUGUUAAGAUAUAGUUUGAUAUAGUGGGUUGAGCAUUUAGGAACCAGAACCCAGUUGCAAGAUAUAAAUCCUAACUGUGACUCUUCCUAUAUCUUUUAGAAAGUUACUCAACUUUCCUUUGUCUCAAUGUGCUUAUAUAUAAAAUUAUAAUAAUAAGCAGCUGUCUCUUAAGGUUGCUGGGAGCACAAAAUGAGUUACCUCUGUGAAGUGCUCAAGAUCAGAGGCUAAUAUAUGGUAGGUGAUGUUCACCAUUUUUAUUCUCCCGCACAUGAAAAUACUUUAUUGCAACAUGUCUUAAAAUGUAGUUAUUCAAAAGUGUAGACUCCUGCAUAUUCUUUCAAAGUUUCAAUUUUGUUGAAGAUUUAAAAAAAAUUGACAUAUUCUACAUGACUCAAAUAGAAGUCAGUUGGUGAUUUAUCACUAAUUUAAUUAUGAUUCAUUUGUCAUCAGUAAUGAGCUACAGUGCCAAACAUGGUUUCCACUUUCAAAAAUAAAAUUCUUAUUUUUUUCUGUAGAAUAUUUCCAUUUAAAAUUCUUUAGUUUCUCUCUAAAUUUCAUGCAACAAAAUUCUUUUAAAUUCACAGAAAUUUCUUUACUAUUAAAAAGAUCCUGGUGAUAGAUUCAUAUUCAGAUAAUGAGAGUUUAGAGUUUAAAUUAUUACUAUGAGAGUUAAAACUAUAGUCAUAGGAAAAUGAAUACAUUUAUUAUUUAACCCUCCACCUAGUAUAAUUUUAAUUCUUAACCAGAUUACCCUAUCUUUUCAAAUUAUUACUAUUUCACAUUUAAAAAAUGUAGUACCUUUUAGAAUAAUCUUCUAUUAUAUUUUGGUGAUGUUGUCCAAAGAUAGAUUUGCUCAAGGUAGGCAAAAGAACUUAUCCUUCCUUGGGAACCAUCCUGAUAUUUGCAGACAAUUGUCACACUUUAAUUCUGUCCUUGUCAUUACUCAAUAAAGUAUACUUGUUUUAAUUCCA